rnacentral:rRNA from 1 species
GCCUACGGGUGGCAGCAGUGGGGAAUAUUGGACAAUGGGCGAAAGCCUGAUCCAGCCAUGCCGCGUGUGUGAAGAAGGUCUUCGGAUUGUAAAGCACUUUAAGUUGGGAGGAAGGGCUCUUGGCUAAUACCCAGGAGUUUUGACGUUACCGACAGAAUAAGCACCGGCUAACUCUGUGCCAGCAGCCGCGGUAAUACAGAGGGUGCAAGCGUUAAUCGGAAUUACUGGGCGUAAAGCGCGCGUAGGUGGUUUGUUAAGUUGGAUGUGAAAGCCCCGGGCUCAACCUGGGAAUUGCAUCCAAAACUGGCAGACUAGAGUACGGUAGAGGGUGGUGGAAUUUCCUGUGUAGCGGUGAAAUGCGUAGAUAUAGGAAGGAACACCAGUGGCGAAGGCGACCACCUGGACUGAUACUGACGCUGAGGUGCGAAAGCGUGGGGAGCAAACAGGAUUAGAUACCCUUGUAGUC